GCACUCACUCACUAUCCAGAGAAUAGCACCAAGGGAAAUGUUGCUAACCCAUUCAUGAGAAGCCACAGCCAUGAUCCAGUCACCUCCCUCCAGGCCCCACCUCCAAUACUGGGGAUUACCAUUUCACAUGAGAUUCGGGCUGGGACGCCAAACCAUAGCACUGGGAUAGGAGCAGGGCUUCUGGCUGUGGGUCAGAGCCUCGGACAGGGAGGAGCACCAGGGUCCAAGCUUCUUGAUGGCGGGGGUGGGGGGAUGAGGGCCUCCAGGGCAACCCCAGGACCUGCUUUGCUGGGUCAGAUCAUGCUGGGGGACCUGGGGCCAGCCCCUUACCACACCUUCUCCUUCCCACACUGUCCUGGUGGGAGAAGCAAGGGCUCAGGGGUUUGGCAGAGACGAGGCAGGGCCAGGCAUGAAGGCAGGGGCAACGGGGCACCAGAGGCCUCAGCUCUGACCCCAGCACAAGCUGAGACUGUAACCUGUAACUACCCAUCCGCUGACAUGGCUCCAGCUCUGACUACAUGCCGAGUGCUGGCCAGGUGCUCCUCCGAAGCUCCUCAGUCCCAGCUGCAGAUGAGAAAUCUGAGGCCUGGAGAGGGACGAGGGCCUGGGCUCCAAUCCCGCUGUGCUGUCUCCUCAGUUUCCACCGACUGCCCAGCGCUAGCUGUUGUGGAAGGUAGACUGGGGGCUCCAGACGGUCUGUCCUCAGCCGCCCCUGUCAACCAAGGCCAGGCCUGGUGUCUCAGGCCAGCUCCACUGUCAAGGCCGUGGCCACAAGGAGCGGACCGUCCAGGGCUGGGGGCAUCCUCCCUGCUUCUCUGGGAGGCCUCUGCCACUGAGGAGGCCCGGCUGGGUGCAGAGAUUGGGGAAGCCAGCAGCCCUGGCAUUGAUCACAGGCCACAUGAGAGCAACAUUGAAGUCAAGGUCUCCUCUAGACGAUGAAAUCAGGAAGAAUCCGAAUGACCGGACCCUGGAGCCCAUCUGUGAGUGUUCAAAAUCCAAUCACGAGGACCUUCGGGGCCAGCGACAGGAGUAAUCGGAUUGGGAUUGUAACCGGGAGACAGUGACGGGAAUGAUUGGGUCGGGAUUGUAACCGGAAGAACUUACAGGGACACGGACCCUCUGCAUUGUGCCUGGGAGCGAAGGCACCGGCUAGGAGGCGGAGGGGCUGGAGGUAGCUGGUGGAUGGGUAGGGGUUCCACUGCGACUCCAGCCUCCCCAGGCAGAGGGGGCCUCCACUCCUAGAAUGAGGGUCAGCUGUGGGCCGAAGCACAGAGGGGUCUCAGGAUGUCACACCAAGGGCACCUGCCUAGGGUCAGCUCAGCCCUCACCCCUCACUAGCACUGCAAGGAGCGGGAGGGAGAUGGAGCACCCCAGACGGAUUGGGUGCCCUUCCCUGAGACAGGAUCAUGGGGGGCCUGGAGGACCGACAGGGCCUGUGGUGACACAGUCCUCUAGAGUUUCCCAGCUUGAGGCUGCAGGUGCCAGCUGCGGAGGCCUCCUUUAGGAGGCGGGAGGCUGACUGGGAGGUCUGCCAGGAGCUGAGCCCAGGCCCCCUCACCAGGGAGUCGGGAGGCACUUCAGGUCCCAGCGUGGAAACUUACUCUUCGCCUUCAUUUUGGGAGAAAGGCCGUGUCCUCGGCCAGUCUACAGGAGGCAGCUGGUGUUUGGAGAGGGCUCAGCUGGUGGGGCGGCCUGCCAGGAAGUGGGGCCUUGGGCUGCAGCUGAGGCCAGUGCCGCAGGCAGAGACAGGCACCUCCUGCCGCGCAGUCAACCCCCGCUGCUGGGGGCUGGCCCCCGCCCCUGCUUCUCCCAGGGCCUGCUUCAUUCUAUUUGGCUUCACAUUCCUCCCCAAAGUAAAUCCAUCAUUUCUGUUGCUACACUGCCCAGCCGGGCAGGCACCUAUAUGUCCUCCCUCCCCCGGCCUCCCCAUGCCGUCUUCUUCCCACUCUUCCCAGGGGAAUCACAGAAGCCCAGGCUGGGCUGUGCCCCUUCACUGGGCACCAGUGAGAUCCAGACCUGGCCCUGAACGUCAGCUUGGGUCAGUGGCCUUCUUUUGGCUGGGCAGUGCCCAGAGGGGACCCUGUGCACCCAGGAAGUGCCUGUGGGGAAAUCAGGGCCACCUGCCCCCCUGGCUAACAUUCCCUACAGUCGGCACCCAGGACAGGCUUUCUCAUCAGCCUGAAGCUGUGGGAAGGGGGUGGCACUCCCGGCUGGCUCCUCCAAGCCCAGCGGACAGGAAAACACCCUGGGGGCAUGGGCUGAGUCCCCUGCCCAGCUCUUCGCUGGACCCUGAACUGCUGGAUGAAACCUGGUGCCUGCCACCCUGUGCAAAGCUCGGCUUCAUUCCUUUGACAACAGCUUUGACCACGUGGAGAGUGGGAGGGAGGAGCGAGGAGGGCCCAGGGCAGGCCUCCUCCCCUGAGGAAGGGCCCGAAACUCAGAGCUGGGAGGACAGGGGGGCUCUGGAAGGAGAGUCGGAGGGGGAUGUUAGCCCCAGAGGUAGGGAGGGCGAAGGUGUGAGGAAGAGGAGGCGGGGGUGCAGGGCAGGGACUCACUCUGCUCAGAGCACUGGGCAACCCUGCUGCCAGCAGAGGCCAUGGCUGUCUGUGUGUGAAUGUGUGCGAAUGUGUACGUGUACAUGUGUGUGCAUGUGCGUGUGUGUAUGGGCGUGUGUGUGUGUAUGGGCGUGUGUGUGCUGGGGGCCAUGGAGGGUACAGGGUGUGUGGGGGCAGUUAUGUGAGUGGGAACCAUGUUGAGGGGCAGGUGGCACUGUUUGCAGGAGACUUUGUGGGAUGAGGUCUCUGGGGUUUGAGGACUGAAUUGCAGCCUCUUAAAGCUCCACUCCCCCAAAUGCAGUUGACUACCUUGGGGUCCUGUCUGACCCCAAGCAGGAGUUGGUGUCUGGGGGCCAGGUUGAUAGCCAGGCAAGGCUAACCGGGACAGGAAGGGUGGUGUGCUGCCUGCAGCUCUGCCUGAAUGCCAGCGGGGCGGGGAUGCUGAGGCGGUAUCUGCAGGACCACCUGGGCCUGGGCCCGCUGGAGCAGACACGGAGCAGCUGCCCGCCCCAUCUCUCCCCCAGGUGUCCUGACCCUGGCGGGGGUCAGCAUCUACAUCAGCUACUCGCACCUGGCCUUCGCGGAGACGGCGCGGCAGUACGGCCCACAGCACGUGCAGGGCGUCCGCGUCAGCUUCGGCUGGUCCAUGGCCCUGGCCUGGGGCUCCUGUGCCUCAGAGGCAUUCAGCGGAGCCCUCCUGCUCUCGGCAGCCCGGACCCUCAGCCUGAGCCCCCCACUCUGUAGUCAUCUGAGCCCCCAGCAGUACAAAGGUGAGCAAACACUGUCACCAGCUGUGCACGUGUCCGUCCAUCCAGAGGUGUUCUGAGAGCGUGUGUGCACGUGUGUGUCCACUGUGAAGUCAUCUGCAGACACACAAGCCUACUUAUUCCAAGACCGCUCACCCUAGGGGAAGCAAGUCAUCAGACUGCGAAGACACCCAGGAAGCCCUGAGGAGAUGUUCACGUGGGCAGCACUGAGGCUUCCGCCACCAGCAGCAGCAGCGCGUCAGCUGUGUGAGCACACCGCCUGCAAGAGGAUUAUUCAGCUAAUGCAGUUCUCACUGAUGUCCUGACUACAGCCUCGUGAGAAACUCCAAGCCAGAACUUUCCAGCUGAACAGCGGCAUGCACACCACGUGGCCAGUGUGGGCCAUCUCAUCAGCGCUCCCAGCCCGCAACCCAGCCACGCUCACCAUCACUAUGUCUGUCUCCGUGAAGGUGGGAUCAAGGGAGCAGACGGACAACACCAGCUCCUGGAGUCCUAGGCCAGGCCCUGAGGGCUCCCCACCGGCUGAACCAAACAGAAAUGCAGGAAUGUGGUCCACAAGUGUCACAGCUCCCCGUAUGGACUGAGGACCCGCUGGGUAGACAGAAGUCACCCUGUGCUCACCAGAGAUGAGGUUGGCCAUAGUGUUGGAGGGCACAAAGAGGGUGCGCUCCAGCCCUAGCAGCUCCACAGGCAUUUCUUGCAGCUCUGUGGAGGGACAGGGAAGCCAUUGUGCUCGCACACUCGGGUGUCAGCGCCGUCCACACUGCUUUCCCUGUGUCACUUGGGCCAGAGCAUGCCCUGAGCCCAGGUGAGGCCCCUAGCCCGAGGCUCCGGUGAGCGGCCAAGUGGGUUUGGAGCCCCGUCCACCAGCUGCACACUCUGUGGGCUUAGGAACCACACAUCCAGCUCCACAGGGCCCUCAGUGAACUCUGCACCCCACCUCCCCAGGGCCAUGGCCUCUCCCUGCUCCCCCCAAGAACCUCUCUUGUGGUUUGAACCCAUCUCUGGCAGGCCUCACACCUGUCUCACUUCCUCUCCCCUCAGCCCUUUGCAGGUGGGGCCUGUGGUUUCUCUGCUGACUUCCUUUCCUCAUCAGGAGGGGUGACUGGGGGGCUGGACAGGGCAUGAGGGUGCAACUGGAGGGCGAGGAAGGCUCCCACUCUUGCUGUAAAGCCCACUGUGGUCCCCCGCAACUGUGGCAUCAAGUCCUUAGCAUGACACUCAGGGCUGGCGUGACCUGGCUUCUGCCCCCAGUUCCUCAGAGCCUCCUGCACUCUCCACUCCUGCCACAUACCCACCUGAGCCCUGAAGACCUUUCUCACUAGUCUGCUUCUGCUCCUGAAGCCCCUGCCCUGUGAGCCGGCACUUCCUUCCCUGCCUGGGUUGCUUCCACUCAGCCUGCAGGAGGGUUCCUCUGGGAAGGACCCUUCCCCAUGAGCCACAGCCUCUCCCCAUCCUCUGCUUUCCAGGGCACCCUCUAUAGACUCCCGUCAACUCAAGCACCUCCCCAGCCUCCCCUUGCGUGGCAGUGACUUGUUGACAUGUGAGGCUGCCUGGGAGCAUGGAGGUCAGCAUCUCCGGCCACACUAGGCGGCAGCUGGAUACAUGCUCAGCCCCAGCCACCCCUUAACAGACGGGACCUUGGGAUCCAACUGGCGACCCCAUGGUUUGUCCUGUCCUAGCUGAGGGGUGUGCACACCCCAGCAGUCAAAGUGGUUCACUAUGGCAACUCACAACCCAGGGCUGGGGCUGGGGGUCACUGUACCCUGGAGACACUCCCUAGGUCAUUAUAACCCACUCCUUGGGAGGUGCAGCCUGUAGAACCUGCCCCUUUCUACAUCUAUUUUCCGUUUGCCUUCUGUGGGGGAAGGCAGUGCAGGAGAACAGUUGUGGGUUUCAGAGUCAGAAGACCCUUGGUUCAAACCUUGGUUCUGCCAUUUACUAAGUAUGCGGCCUGGAGCGCCUCCCUCCACAUCUCAGAGCCCUCCUGUGCAAGACUGGACAUCACCCAUUUCAGGGGGCAGCUGGGUGACAAUGCAGGGCACACACAACCACCUGGUGAGCCUGUAGAAAUACAGGUUCUCCUCAGCGGGCCCUGAGAAUCUGCAUUUCUUUUCUUUCUUUCCUUUUUUUUUCUUU